CCUACGGGGGGCAGCAGUGGGGGAUAUUGCACAAUGGGGGAAACCCUGAUGCAGCGACGCCGCGUGUGGGAAGACGGUCUUCUGGAUUGUAAACCACUGUCCCCAGGGACGAAAAUGACGGUACCUGGGGAGGAAGCUCCGGCUAACUACGUGCCAGCAGCCGCGGUAAAACGGAGGGAGCAAGCGUUGGCCGGAAUUACUGGGUGUAAAGGGAGCGGAGGCGGGGAUGCAAGUUGGGUGUCAAAACUACCGGCUCAACCGAUAGUCGCAAGCAAAACUGCAGCUCUUGAGUGAAGUAGAGGCAGGCGGAAUUCCUAGGGUAGCGGUGAAAUGCGUAGAUAUUAGGAGGAACACCAGUGGCGAAGGCGGCCUGCUGGGCUUUUACUGACGCUGAGGCUCGAAAGUGUGGGGAGCAAACAGGAUUAGAUACCCUUGUAGUC
rnacentral:rRNA from 1 species